ensembl:lncRNA
AUCAUAAAAUGAGAAUGUCUAUGACAUGCUUUCAUUGUGUAAAGGCUAGACUCUUGCAAGUGGCUUGAGAGCUGCUUACUUUGCCCCGUUCCACUCGAGAGAAGUAGGAGAAAGCCUCCAGCUGAGGCUUGUUAUGAUAAUGAGUUGAAGAGAGUAAUUAGAGGACAGUCUGAAGAGAUCAAGAGCCUUGCAAUGGGAGAGUCUGUCCAGCACAGUUAAUACCCAGUAAUUGAAAUCACUGAACUGCUUUCUUUUUUUUUUUUUGAGUUCCCCUUUUCUGCAGGUGUCUCUGAGGUAUGUCUGCGCUUCCUGUUUUUCACGUGGUUAAGCAGUACAUUCACUUGUUCAGGAUUUUGGGGGGCAGCAGGCUGCUGUUGCAACUGAAUAUUUGGGAUAAUUGGAUAUAUAAAUCCAUAUAAAAAUGCACACAUGUACAUAUAGACAGAGUACCCUGACCUUGGGAAAAGGCUCUAAUCUAGUGUCUUUAUAGAGAUGAGGAAGCAGCUUUGACAAGUGGAAGUUAAGCCCUGGAUGGUCCUGGACUAUCUGGCCAUUGUUUAAUCUUCUUAACAUGUGAAAAGAUCCUAUUCAUUAUCUUCCUACACGCUGGUGAUGGAGGCAUAAUCAUGUACUCAUCCUGAGCCAUGUACUCAUCCAUUAUGGAUCUUGUCUUCACUUAUUGAAGGUCAGCCUGAUGAGUAAUUCUGAGCCUUCACCAAGGUCUAAUGUGACACCAUCUGUAACGCGUUUCUGAAAUCUUGUUAGACCAUAUGUUUGGGAACUGCUGAGUCACGGCCUGAACCACUGAUUGAGCACCUGAAAGAGGAGACCCAGUCAGCCCUGAGUGCACAGGUGGAGGCAAUUCAUCUGCGAGACCAGUGGAGCCAGACCUCAUGUAAGGGCUUAUUGCCCGAGGAACAAUCUUUUGCUGGAGAUUUCUCCUAUGUGGAGUUUUUCUGCGAGCUAAGAUCUUUGGAGAUGGAAAUGGUGAUUAUUCAGAGAAGAAUGCUAAGCAGCUGGACUGUAUGUAUCAUAUGGACGACCGCUUGUGGGUAACUUCAGACUGCAGUUUUGUCUACGGGGAAAAAAUCAGAUGAGACAUUCUGAGGAAAACCCUGAAGCAGGAAAAAAUGAGCCAUAUGGAAACUUUGCUCCAGUUUGCCCUAAACUCUGGUGAUGUUCUGUGAAGAGGAGGAUGAAGAAUGGAGAAAAUUGUUUUGACUGGUCAGCAACCUUAUUCCUUCGAUCAUUUGUAUGCAAAAGUUUGUGUCCUUAAGCCAAACGUGUUAUAAGUUUUGGUGUUGCCGAAUCCUGGAUCCUUCAGAUUUCAGGAAAGUUGAUGGAGGUUGAGGAAAAUUGAAGAAAGAAAUACUGUCUGGGAACCAGUUUCAUUUAAUUUUCUCUUUUCAUUCUUGUAACUGCCCAAGUGGAAGCAUUUGCUGCUCUGGGAAGGAAAGGAUUUCCCCAUGGAAGACAGCUUUUUGGCAAGUCAAUAAGUUUCUAACCUGCCAAAUAGUUGUGGUGGCGUUGUCCCAGGAAAGCAUUCAGUACUUCUGUUUUGGAGAACUGAAAACAGAACUCAAAUACAGUACAAAGUUAAGACAAGAACCUUUUGCAGCUUCAACAACAUCUCUUCAGCUAAGUACCUACUUAAUUGAAAAACAGGAUUUGUUACUACCUGGUAUCUUUUAUCCCUGCAGAAGAGUAAGCUGGAUGUACCACAGGGCAGCAUGCAGAGUGUGUGGGGGAAGAAAAACCACUCUACCCAAACCUUUCUCUAUGCAGGCUGAGAAAGUGAGCUACAGAUGGAUUCCAGAGGCAUCGUUUCUCAUGGAUCAUUCUUCACUGCUAUUCCUUUAGUCUUAGGAGCACUUUAGCAGCAGGUUUGACAAACAGCUCAUCUCCUGCAUUAUGUUGGGCCAAAACCUGUGAAGGUUUAAAGCUUGAACUUGUGAACUCAGUGACUGGUGCUAUGGUCUGCAGUAUUGCUUUAGUGAGGAUCCUUCCUUCACAUCAUCCAUCGCAGACAGGCACUGAGGUGAGAAAGAGAAUAACAAAUUAUAGAGUCGUGCAACGCACCAAGACCUGUAGAAGAGAAGAUUUGCUAAACUGGAACAGCUUAACUAAGUGAUGUUUGGACCUGAUACAGCGUGGUAAUCAUUGAGUUUCAAGGGAGCCUACUGCUUUUGCCAGCCCUGCAGAUUGUAAAGAGCAUAUCCCAACUGAGCCAUGGC